CAUUACCGAGUGAGGGCCCUCUGGGUCCAACCUCCCACCCGUGUUUAUUUUACCUUGUUGCUUCGGCGGGCCCGCCUUAACUGGCCGCCGGGGGGCUUACGCCCCCGGGCCCGCGCCCGCCGAAGACACCCUCGAACUCUGUCUGAAGAUUGUAGUCUGAGUGAAAAUAUAAAUUAUUUAAAACUUUCAACAACGGAUCUCUUGGUUCCGGCAUCGAUGAAGAACGCAGCGAAAUGCGAUACGUAAUGUGAAUUGCAAAUUCAGUGAAUCAUCGAGUCUUUGAACGCACAUUGCGCCCCCUGGUAUUCCGGGGGGCAUGCCUGUCCGAGCGUCAUUUCUGCCCUCAAGCACGGCUUGUGUGUUGGGCCCCGUCCUCCGAUCCCGGGGGACGGGCCCGAAAGGCAGCGGCGGCACCGCGUCCGGUCCUCGAGCGUAUGGGGCUUUGUCACCCGCUCUGUAGGCCCGGCCGGCGCUUGCCGAUCAACCCAAAUUUUUAUCCAGGUUGACCUCGGAUCAGGUAGGGAUACCCGCUGAACUUAAGCAUAUCAAUAAGCGGAGGAAAAGAAACCAACAGGGAUUGCCCCAGUAACGGCGAGUGAAGCGGCAAGAGCUCAAAUUUGAAAGCUGGCUCCUUCGGGGUCCGCAUUGUAAUUUGUAGAGGAUGCUUCGGGAGCGGUCCCCAUCUAAGUGCCCUGGAACGGGACGUCAUAGAGGGUGAGAAUCCCGUAUGGGAUGGGGUGUCCGCGCCCGUGUG
rnacentral:rRNA from 1 species